UAUUACACCGCAGCCGCUUCCUUUCGAUCAAACACAAUCCGUCCCGCGCGCUCGCUCUUUUUCAUCCUCUCUCUCACUUCUUUUUUGUUCUCUCUCUCUCUCUAGAUUAGUUAUGCUCUCUUUUUCCCUCGACCAAGUUCUCCGUAGCGCUUACUGCCCCGUUGAUCCGCACGCUGGGUCACACCGCUUGGUAACGUCCGUGUCCCGCCCGUUCGUCGGGACUCUGUAGCGCGCUCACAGCAAAACGUCUGCUUCUUUGUGUGAUUGCUGCCCGGUGUGUCACCGCUGAGGAUGGUGGUUUGUACCUCACCCACCUCAAAUCUCUCGCCCCCUUUCUUCCAUCGCUCGCGGUGUGCGGCGGUAGAUUUCGGUCGGUAGUUUUAUUUCCCUGUCGCCGGGCUGACUUUUGUGUGCAUGUGUAUCGGCAAGGUGUUUGCCACUUUCUGCACCCAUCCGGCCACCAGCAGGGGCGCACGACAAUGUGUGUCGCCAGGACUUCCUGUUUCAAGGGCUCGGAAGGUCAGUCGUAUAUCGGCAGCGAAAAACCUACGCUGCCCUAUCCGUUUGGGUUACUUCUCAAUUUACUUUGCGGCGCGAGAACCACCCCUUCAAUCGGAAAACAAUCAGACCCUGGUCAGGUGUCAAAUUUUGAGUGCGCCUGCUAUAGAUUUCCUAAGAACGAUUGUCACAUCCAACAGGCAUGCAUGCGACCACUGGGCACUCGGUGCAUAAUCCGAACGUUUUAUGUGGGCCUCUCCCGUACACAGUCGUCGCUCGUCAUCUCGCUUUCGUGAUCGUUUUCACCCACUUGCAGUGCACCGGGCUGCUGGUGUCAAUGGUUUGGAAAAGCGUAGCUAUAACGCCGUUACGCCGGGAAAGUCCCAUGAUGCUGCUGCUGUCGGCUGUUGACGCGAGCGCAUAUUGUGCUUUGAUAUUUUAUUUUUAGGCAAAACGCUGUGGCAGCACGCCGUACAAUUGGUAAAUUGAUUGGCGGGCAGAAACAAAAUAACUAGCCGGCACUAUUUUUCUAACGUUGGAAUCAUUUCGUGCUUGCGUUGUUGAACCGAUUGUGAUUGUUGUUAAACCGAUCAAGUGCUGUGGCGUGAUUGACAGGGAUUUUCAUUCGGUCGAUUCUGCCUUCGCAGCCGCUACCGUCUCCGCUGCUGCUUCUGAGGUAUAAAAUUAAAAUAAAAUAAUGGCCCUUCGAGCUGGAUCCACCGAGUACACACAUGCGAUAUCUUGCACCAUCAUAUCUCCCACGUGCUGUUGCGUGUAGAGAAAGGCAACAGAAGCGAAGGAGCGGCAAACGGAUGAGCGAUGAGAAUAGGUGCUGCUGUUGUCGCGUUUUAUGUUCGUCACUUACCGUCCUACCAUUCCUGCGCAAGGCCUUUAUUUGUUGCUGUGGGUUUGAUAAUGUUUAUUUUUUUCUUUCUAAUUUCGCUCUCGUCCGUGAUUGCUACUGUGUUGCGCUCGGACGCAUGGGGAACAUCGCCCUGCACUGCGAUUAUGGAAAGGUGACUUAAUUCUCGUCUUGGCUAUCUCUUUUUCUUACCUUGCUUGCCCGAAAACCAGGCAGCGUCUUCCCUGCCUCCCAUGGGAAGUUUCGGAAAUUGAGCCCAAAUGUACGAGGAGAAACUAUCCUCUGCUGUGUUCUCUUUUAUUUUGUUUCUGUUGUUGUUUUUUUUACGGCAUGCUUCUUCGUCGUUCUACAUCAAACUGUCCCUUUUCCCACCACCAUCCACUAAACCCUCCACGUCGCUGUUCAUUUGUAAUUAUUUGUAUAUCUCCUUUCUAUCGCUCUUUGCUUCGCAUGCUUUCCUGCCCUUCGGGGCCUUUCCUUGACCGUUUCAUUCGUGUUCUCCGCUUUAUAACGCUUGCCGUGCGUUUCCCGGUUGCGGAUGUGUUUCACUUUUCAACCUGCGUUCUCUGCUCCCGGCCCGCACCGUUUACGAAGAGGAUGAGUUUUUCCCCCCCCCCAAACGGUCUUUUUCUGUUUAAGUUGUGUGCUGUUGUGAUACACCGAACACAUGAGGUAAUGCAACAAUACACACACACAUGUACACUGGACAUUUGGGGCUUUUAGGUUGUGUUUUUUUCAACUUCGAUUCGGUUUUGUCCAACGAAAGGGAAGAAAUCAAUUGGAUGACUAAUUAAAUCAGAGACGCGAUACAAAAGCAAUGAAAAUAAGUUGGAAAAGUUGUGGAUGCUACGGAAAAGGGUGUUCCCCUAGCUGGGGUGACACAAGCGUGGGAAUUUAUCGUGUAAGCGAAAAAAAAGCGAGUUAUUAUAAACUCGUAUGCGAGCUGUAGCGGUUUAUUUUAAAUGUUUGCCAUAAAACAAUCAACUGGAGGAGGCUUCGAACUUCAAAUUACGCUUGACAGCUUGUUGGGAGCGGACAGCAAGAAUAAGACAGAACGCGCAGAAACGCGCAGUUGCUAGCGAUCCGACAAUCCCUUGACGCACACGUUCCUGCGCGAAGGAGAAGGCAUAAGAUAAUGGAAAGAUCAGCGUGAUAUACAUACACAUAAAAUCGCUGGCUACUGGUUUUCGUUUUUACAAUGUACACACGGUGGAGCUCACGGUAGCGGUAGCGGUACAUCAGAAGAGCAAUGUGAGGGGGAUUAAAAUUGGGUUACGGAAGGUGCCGGUCACCUGAGCGAAGAUUGAACCAGAAACAGAACAAGAAAGAAAUUGAGAGUGAGAGAGAGAAAGAAAGAGAAAGAGAAAGAGCGAGAGAGAGAAAGAAAGAGAGAGAUACAGAGAGAGAGAGAGGGAGAGAGACAGAGAGACAGAGAGAGACAGAUAGAGAGAGAGAGAGAGAAAGAGAGAGAGAGAUUGAAAUUAAGAUAAAAAUGCAGCAAAUGGUACCAAACGGAGACAAUCUAUCGAGCUCCCAACCAGCGUCCUUGCUGUGUCCGAAGGAACGUACAUAGCUUGUGAAACCGGUUUACCCUCAGCGAUACCAAGUGAUAAGGCUCGUCAUAUGUCCGACUAUCCUUAUGCAGAUGCGCAUGAAAUUUACAUUACCCGGUUCAUCUCCUGUUACGAGUCUUCCCGGUUUUUGGGGGCUACAAGAUCCCUGUAAUGGCCCCAACGUUCAAGUAAAAGCAAAGUAACAACAAUGGAUUGAAACACCGACGCAGUCCCUUAAGCCUCCCUUUCAACGGAAGGAGUUGCGUAGCUUCCUCAGGUGAAUGGAUCAGUAAAUGGCUGUUAAAUUGAGUUAACCAUUUUAACCUUCCCCAGAUCUCCAGGGGCCAGACCUCUCGACCUCGAUCGGCCACCGGUCUAGAACACGAUCGAACAUGUUCGAACAGGAAUAAAUGAUAGUUUGAUGAAUAAAGCCUACGUCGUUCAGGCGGAAGACGCGUGUAGGAAGCUGAAACAGAAGGAAGACCCAGGUCUGGCGAGUACCAGUUGAAUGUUUCGCUUCUUCUAUCCUGUAUGCCGUAUGCAGUAUGUUCGGCGUGUUGCAAAUUUAAACUUGUGAUGUGCGUUUCGGAGCGUAUUAACGGCUCCUUUGCCUGGAGUUAGCUCCGCACUCACGGCUCCGGACUAAUGGUGCAAUGGAGACGAUAUUGUACGAUAGCGUAAAAAACGAAUCUAGAUUUUAGCGAGAGUAGUAACUACCACCCGAUGUAAUCGCAGUAUUGACAGUACGUGCAUGCAUUGUGUGGUAUUCGUUGGUCCCUACUCACGUAUAACAUUUCGUUCUCGGAUCAUCCGUUCUCAAGAUAUGUAACUGUAUGGUUUGUUAAAGAUGUUCAAAACAUAACUUUGAAGAAAUGUAUCAAAAUGUUGUUGAUAUACUAUUUGGAGCUUUAGCUAUUUACCGGUUGAUUUGUACGUCCAAAUCCUCAAAUGAAAGGCUGUGAAGCUGCUGUCAGUAUAUUUUAUUGCGUGAACGGACACUAUCGGCCGAAAUAUUAGACCGAGUUUAAUUAUUGGCUUUGAUUAGUUUAUGACUAAAAAUUAUGUAAGUUCUGCAUUUUUCAAUUGAUAUUCCUGUUUGAAAUUCAUUUGGAAAGGAAAUAUUUUGGUGCACUGUUUUAUAACCGACUCCAAAAUCCGUUGAUGCGGAACCGUCUCGGGAGCCGUUGGUUGGAGCUGGAUAUUUGGAGCCGUCCCGUCCAUUACUAAUUUAAACCUCGCCCAAGCUCGUGCGAGGGCCGGAGCUACACAUUUAGCAGGAAAAAACCCAAAACAACCUGGAGAAACUGAAAAAGAGUGAAACAUCGGUUUUCUAUCCUAUCGAAGUCAUCGAUCACUAGGGUGACCAGAUUGUUUUGUCCGUUGUGGCCAUGUUACUUGGGGUAGAUGGAAUCAAUUUGUUUUCGUUGCCUGCGCGUUAUUUUACAUUUAGCUCUUAAGUUUAUUUGCAUUUAAAUUAGAGAAGCGAAAAGGAGUGUUUUAAUAUUAUUAUUCUGUUCGUUUGCCUUAAAAUAAUAUCUAUUUUUGGUAUACAUGUUGUAUUCAAACGAAAAAUGGCUUUAUGUGAAAUUCCUAUCGGUAUAGAUACAAUUAUGUGUAUGCACAAUUUAUAUUUUCCUGCUUUGGUAAAAGCUGCCAACUCCAUUACAUCUACCCAAUAUGACUUGCCAUAUCUACCCAAAUGCUCGUAGGAACACAAAAAGAAAUGUCGGUAGUUGCGAGGCAAUAUAAGUUGUCGAGAUAACCUUCUAUUGGGAUUUUCGUUCAAGACAAUGGUUAUAAAUGCGUAGUGCAUUUUUACUUUCUUGAUAAAAAAGCGAGAAAUCUGUUUUGUUGUUAUGAAAAACAAGAUAAAAAUUACUUCGGAAAUUCCGAAAAUAAAAUGGCAGAAAUGGAACAAAUCUUUCAUACGUUAAAACGGAGCCGUAAUUACACAAUUUUUAAACGUAUCAAAACUUUAUACCAGUGUAUUUAAUUUACAGAAUCACACUUUUAUUUUACACGAAAUUUGAUCUGAAAAAGUUAUCCAUAUUCUAGAUGAUCGCAACGAAACAACGACUGCAAAAAGUAUUUGCAUCUACACUGAAUGGUACUGCAAAUUGUGUAAGUAGUUGUCCAAUGGGUUUGAACUUUUUUUUUAUUGAAAUGUUUUCAGACAUAAUCAAACAUAACAACAAUCGUAGCAUUACAUGGUUAUAAAAAUGAGAGAAUUAUGGUUAUGUGCGCCAUUCUGAAUUGCCAUGGUAGUGAAUGGUUUGUAAACAUUUGUUUCUAUAACAAACAUAUUGAGCCUUUUAAAAUUAGCUGCGGUGCGGUG